rnacentral:lncRNA from 11 species
ACCCAAAGUUUCAACCCCUUUUCAAUACCCCAAUUCCAGCCUUUUUACCUGUCUGGAAGUUCAGAGAAGGGGGGAGAGAGAAAGAGAGCAGCGGCUCGCGCGCCUCCCGCCUCGAGAUUCCAAAGAGGCGCUCCUGGCUUGGGAUUGGCUGCGACGCGCUGUGGGGGGGGGGGGCGUGCCUUUCGCCACUCUCUCAGACUCCGCGGAACAGCAGCCGGGAGAGAGGGAGCGAGCAAGCAAGCAGCGAAAGCCCCUCUUUGGGCGGACGGGUAGGGGCGCGUGCUUGUGCGCGAGGAGCACACAGACACAAACGCAGGCGCGCGCACACCUUCCCGUCUCGCGCGCGGGUCGGAUACCUCAAAACUUCUGUGGAAGGAAGAAGAAGGAGCCAUGCGGCGCUGAGGAAGGAGGGAGCCUGAAUGAGCGCCUGCGGAGAAAACAAGGAGAAGGGGAGAGAGGCCGGGCGGGAUGGCGAGGGCGGUGGAGAGAGGGGCAGAAGCAGUUGCCAGGCCCUGACGAGGCCCUGGGGCCCCUUCGCCCUCCAGCAGCAGCACUUUUCCUGAGGGGAGGAGGUCGCGCAGCAGCAGCAGCAGCCAUGGACAGCUGCUGCUUCUUCGUCGAGGGAGCACGGGUUUGGUUGCGAGAAAACAGCCAACAUUAUCCAAGUACUGUACUUUCCUGUGCAGAGGGAGUUGUUGUGUUCAGGACGGAUUAUGGUCAGAUAUUCACCUUAGUGGCACUUAUGUUUGGGCAGCUGCAAAAAUGCAUACUUUGUCCUUACAACAAGAUGUAAAUAUUUACAUUUUCAC